rnacentral:lncRNA from 1 species
UCAGUGACUGCUGGCCUUUUCUAUUUCUGAAUUGUAUAGUUUAUGGUUAACUAAGUUCUUUUUAGUUUAAAUUCUCCAAACUCAAAUAUCAGACAACUGUGGAGCAAUUAUGAAUCAUGGUUUUGUCACCUAACUCUGAAUGUCACUGCAUACUGCUUACCAGCCUUGCAAUUUUCUUAUUUUGUUAUAUCAUCAUUUCCAUAUAUUUAC